GAUAAACGCUGGCGGCGUGCCUAACACAUGCAAGUCGAACGCCCUUUUGCGCAAGUGAGAGGGAGUGGCGGACGGGUGAGUACCACGUGGGUACCUACCUUGAGGUGAGGAAUACCACCGAGAAAUCGGUGACAAGACCGCAUACGCUUGGCAACAAGCAAAGUCUCGCAAGAGACGCCACAAGAUGGGCCUGCGCCUGAUUAGCUAGUUGGUGAGGUAAUGGCNCACCAAGGCGACGAUCAGUAGCUGGUCUGAGAGGAUGAUCAGCCACACUGGGAUUGAGAACGGCCCAGACUCCU
rnacentral:rRNA from 1 species